AGGUCUUAUUUUAGUGUAGGCAAAAGCAAAUCCAGCAACACCACUGCCUCUCCCACUGGCCAGAAGUUUGGGGCAAGGGAGAGUGACCCUUUAGAGCACAGACCUCUGAGAUGGUUUGAAUAUGAAGUGUGUCCUAAAGUGUUAUAUGCUGAGGGGCCUCAUCCCAAAUGCAGCAAUAUUCAGAGGCAGAGCUUAGAGAGGUAGUUGGAUCAUGAGGAAACUAACUUCUUCAAUGGGUUAAUGCACCCAUAACUUCAUGGCCCUAAGGGAUGUUAGGUGGAGAGCCUAGGGGAAGGAAGUAGGUCUCUGCAGUGAGCCUUUAAUGGUCAGAGCCUGUCCCCAGCUCUUUCUUCUCUCUGGGCCUUCCUUGUCCUCCCUGCUUCCUGGCUGCCAUGAGCUCCUCCUUUCUCCCUCUGCUUCCUGGCUGCCAUGAGGUGAGCAGCUUUCCUCUACCAUAUUUCUGCCUUGGAGACCAUGAAGCAUGAACUGAAUACUCUGACUAAAGGGGAGAAGGCAGAGGAAGAGAAAUAAAACCAGAUAAAUAUGCCAAGAAUCACGUUCCACAAGAUCUAAAAACAGAACCGUAGUUCUUGUCAACACAUAUGAAUCCUGGAUAAAUGUUUUUUCCAAUUUUCAACACCAAUAAAGAUUUUUGUAAAACCCAUAA